rnacentral:misc_RNA from 1 species
CAGGAGUCAAUGGCUUCUAGCAUAAGCUGCAGCAGGCUGGGCGUGAAACUUGUAACGUAAGCUAUAACCGUUUAAAACGAACAAGCAAAGCGGUUACAAACACUCCCAUUUCUGCUCUCUCUCUCAAAGAAGCUCGCUUUCCCGCUACUUCCUGUUUCUCAAUCUCUCCGUAGCAAAUCCUCACCAAAUUGCGAUCAAAACUUUCCUCUUCUGAGAAAGAUCCGAAUUGAAGUUCCGUUUGCUUGUUGCUGCUAUAACUUUUCCUACAUUCUCUUGGGUCUUUACACAGUGUUCGCUGAAAGAGGGGGAGACGAUGAUGGUGAUGAAAGUUAAGGAGGAGGAGGAAUUGUAUGAUGUAGAUUCUGCAGACCAAGUCAUAGAUGCUCCUCCUUGUUCAGUUUAUUUUGGAACUCGUGGCGCUGCUUUUCCUAGAUCAGUUUCUUUUCAAGGGAGGGCAACUGGACCAACUCGACGAUCAACUAAGGGACACUGGACGGAAGAAGAGGAUUAUAUUCUUACGGAAUCAGUUAGAAGGUUCCAUGGGAAGAAAUGGAGAAAAAUAGGUGGGUUCUCCUGGACUUCUUUAUUUUGUGGUUUUGUAUCCGAUUAGCAUCAGUCAAUAACCUUUUUACUUUUACCUCAAGGUGUAAUGAUUUAAUCAUUCUUGGUAACUGCCUAACUGUUUCAAUGGAUAACAGCGCGGCUACAGGAAGUGGUGCUCAAAACUGAAAGGUGUUUAUUGUGAAUUUUACUGAGUGCAGGACCGUCCAUGAUGAACAAAAUUAUAGCUAUUUAAUUCUUCUAUAGUUUUUAUAAUAUUAAUGCAUACCCUAAACAAAUUGUUUACUAUCACAUCUAAAGUGGAUGAUUUGAUCAAUUUUAUAUUUUCUCAGCUGAGUGUCUUCCCCAAAGGACAGUUUCUCAGUGCUUUACUCGCUGGAAUAGGGUUCUUAAUCCUGCAAUUGUCAAAGGAACUUGGACAAAAGAGGAGGAUGACUGUAUCAUAGAGUCAGUCAGAAGGUAUGGUCCUAGGAAAUGGUCUGUUAUGGCAAGGUCCUUGCCAGGUCGCCUAGGCAAGCAAUGCAGGGAAAGGUGGCACAACCACUUAGACCCGGCUAUAAGGAGAUCUUCAUGGACAGAAGAAGAGGAGUUGACUCUUACAUACUACCAUGAAAUAUAUGGGAACAAGUGGACAGAGAUAGCAAGGUUUCUGCCUGGAAGGACUGAUAAUGCAAUAAAAAAUCACUGGAAUUGCAUAGUGAAGAAGAAGUUGGAUUCAAAUUCCCCUGCUUAUGCAGAGGAUCUGUGUAAAGUUGGUUCUCUCAAUUUCUGCAGUUGUGCAACGAAAACAGACAGCAAAGAGGUGAAGGAAGAAAGACAGAAUCCUGAUGAAUUAGUCUCUGUUCAUGGAAGGAUGGGGUUGAUGUGUAGUGGUGACAUGGGUACUUCAGAGUUGCUCUGUGGACUCGCUAAUGGAGGACAAAACCAAUUAGAAGCAAAAUAUGGUAUGGUAGGAACUUCUGAUUCUUCAGUUGAGAUAGAUGAACUGAUGAAUGGAAUACAUUUUGAUGACAGAGGUGCAAAUGGUUGUGGUGCAAUGGUUGGAUCCAGAAGAAACAAGAGCAGUGCCCUUGAGGCUGUUCUUCCCUUCCCCCUCAAUUCAGCCAAAUCCCCUAACAGGCUUAGUGGUCAUGAAUUAGGUAUUUUGCAUUCAGAAUUCGGCAAUGAAACUGAAAAUUCAUAUUCAUUUACUUCUGCAACUGGAGGAGACAGGAGUGUAAUUGAAAAGGAAAGCAAAUUUCACAAAAUGAAUAUGCAUAUACAACCAGUGGACAGAAACCAGCGCUGUAUCCAUCACGAGUCAGCCCAGCCAAAGGACUUGGUUACUAACUU